GGCCUAACACAUGCAAGUCGAACGGUAACAGGUCUUCGGAUGCUGACGAGUGGCGAACGGGUGAGUAAUACAUCGGAACGUGCCCGAUCGUGGGGGAUAACGCAGCGAAAGCUGUGCUAAUACCGCAUACGAUCUACGGAUGAAAGCGGGGGAUCGCAAGACCUCGCGCGGACGGAGCGGCCGAUGGCAGAUUAGGUAGUUGGUGGGGUAAAGGCUCACCAAGCCUUCGAUCUGUAGCUGGUCUGAGAGGACGACCAGCCACACUGGGACUGAGACACGGCCCAGACUCCUACGGGAGGCAGCAGUGGGGAAUUUUGGACAAUGGGCGCAAGCCUGAUCCAGCCAUGCCGCGUGCAGGAUGAAGGCCUUCGGGUUGUAAACUGCUUUUGUACGGAACGAAAAGGUCUUUUUUAAUAAAGAGGGCCCAUGACGGUACCGUAAGAAUAAGCACCGGCUAACUACGUGCCAGCAGCCGCGGUAAUACGUAGGGUGCAAGCGUUAAUCGGAAUUACUGGGCGUAAAGCGUGCGCAGGCGGUAAUGUAAGACAGAUGUGAAAUCCCCGGGCUCAACCUGGGAACUGCAUUUGUGACUGCAUUGCUGGAGUGCGGCAGAGGGGGAUGGAAUUCCGCGUGUAGCAGUGAAAUGCGUAGAUAUGCGGAGGAACACCGAUGGCGAAGGCAAUCCCCUGGGCCUGCACUGACGCUCAUGCACGAAAGCGUGGGGAGCAAACAGGAUUAGAUACCCUGGUAGUCCACGCCCUAAACGAUGUCAACUGGUUGUUGGGUCUUCAUUGACUCAGUAACGAAGCUAACGCGUGAAGUUGACCG
rnacentral:rRNA from 1 species